rnacentral:rRNA from 1 species
CCUACGGGAGGCUGCAGUGGGGAAUAUUGCACAAUGGGGGAAACCCUGAUGCAGCGACGCCGCGUGAGUGAAGAAGUAUUUCGGUAUGUAAAGCUCUAUCAGCAGGGAAGCAAAUGACGGUACCUGAUUAAGAAGCCCCGGCUAACUACGUGCCAGCAGCCGCGGUAAUACGUAGGGGGCAAGCGUUAUCCGGAUUUACUGGGUGUAAAGGGGGCGUAGACGGCAGGGCAAGUCUGAAGUGAAAUGCCGGGGCUUAACCCCGGAACUGCUUUGGAAACUGUGCAGCUAGAGUGCAGGAGAGGUAAGUGGAAUUCCUGGUGUAGCGGUGAAAUGCGUAGAUAUUAGGAGGAACACCAGUGGCGAAGGCAGCUUACUGGACUGUAACUGACGUUGAGGCUCGAAAGCGUGGGGAGCAAACAGGAUUAGAUACCCUUGUAGUC